AAGAGAGAGCCACGGCGAUGGCCGAAUAAGGCCUAAACGAGUUACUGAACCCGUCUUCCUCUGCCUGGGACGAGCUUCCACUAAUUAUUUCCGAUUUUCCUUUCCUUUUCAUGUUGGCAUCAGAUUCCCUGUACAAUGAUAGCUGGUGUUUCAGGAUAUAUCGCAUUUUGGUUAUUGGAUAUCUGAUCCCCCCCCCCCCAAAAAAAUCCUCAUAGUGCUUGACUGCUUGACAAUGGGUGUUUUUGGACGGACACAUAAGUGAAGGGGGGAAAAAACAGAGAUGUUGUCCCUCAUUGCCAUUCAUCGACAGUGUUUGGUCGUAUUAUAGUGAUCGUGCAAUGUCUAUAAGAACGGUUGUCAUGCAUCACGUUUUGGCCUCCAUGAUUCAUUGGACUUGUUGCUACUGCUUGUGCCCUGUUCAUUAUUAAAGGAUUUCAAAGCCAUUUUCGUCGUCGUUAUUCGCCGUCCUAAGAGAGGCUCGCUGGCAUGCUUCUUGAGGUUUCUAGCCAUCCUGCCUGGCCGUAUCGCUGAAAAAUCAACCGAGACAGAAAGCUGCUUGCCGCGUUUCAAUUUUCUGGCCCCAACCUUUCAAAUUUCAUGAAAAGGGUGACAUUGAGAUUCCUUGACCAAACAAGUAGGCAUGUUAAAAAUGUAAGUAUCGACGAAACAAUAGAGUUGUUAAGCCAAGCAAAUGAGUCUGGAGCAAAACCUACGAAGGUUGUUCUUUGUAAUGCGCUUAGCUCUUGCGCAAAAACCCAAAAUUGGAAAUUGGGAAUAAAAAUCCAUGCCUAUAUGAUUCGUUCUGGAUAUGAAGAUAAUUUAUUUCUUAGUAGUGCACUUGUUGAUUUCUAUGCAAAAUGCAAUGCUAUUGGGGAUGCAAAGAAAGUAUUUAGUGGCAUGAAAUAACAUGAUCAAGUGUCUUGGACUUCGCUUAUUGCUGGAUUCUCACUAAACGGUAAAGGAAGAGAUGCCUUGUUGUUAUUCAAAGAGAUGCUGAAUACCCAAGUUAAGCCAAAUUGUUUUACCUAUACAAGUGUUAUAAGUGCGUGUGUGGAGCAAAAGGAAGCCCCCAAACAGUGUCCAACUCUUCAUGCUCAUGUUACCAGACAAGGAUUUGAUACUAGCAAUUAUGUGGUAAGCUCGUUAAUUGAUUAUUAUGCAAAAUGGGGACAACUUAAUGACGCUGUAUUAUUAUUUAGUGAAACAUGUGACAAGGAUAAUAUUGUGUAUGCUUCAAUGAUCUGUGGUUAUUCUCAAAACCAAUAUAACGAGGACGCACUUAAACAUUUUGCAGAAAUGAGGAAAAAGAAUUUAACACCUUCUGGUCAUAUUUUAAGUAGCAUUCUGAAUGCUUGUGGCAGCCUUACAGUGCUCUUUCAAGGAAGACAAUUGCACUCAUUGAUUAUUAAAUUGGGUUCUGAAAGCAACGUAUUUGUGGCCAGUGCUUUGAUUGAUAUGUAUUCAAAGGGCGGUGACAUUGAUGAUGCUCGUUGUGUGUUGGAUCAGACUUCUGAAAAGAAUACUGUUCUGUGGACUUCCAUGAUCAUGGGUUAUGCUCAAUGUGGGA